AAGAUGACUGAGCUGUAGAUGAGGGGUCAGAUGCCAGGCUUUUGCGAAGCUGAGCCAGAGGAAAUGUUCGCGUGGAGCAGUCAGUGUGUGUCUCAGGGUCGAGCAGGCACAGACCCUUGCAAGACUCAUCCUGGGGGAAGGUCACGGCUAGCGCUGCUCCAUCGUCACCAAGCUGCCAUUGAAAUAGGCAGACGUGCUUUGCCCUGCGUGCUCAGUAAUGUGACCUGUGUCUAGUCUAUCAUCCUCUAACAUUUGAUGAAUCGAAGGACAUUCCAAAGAUGGAAGACACCCAAGGAAAGUGCUGCCAGGCUGCCUUGCAAUUUCUCGGCUCUAAAGGAGCUUUUGGGAUCAGCACCAAAACUUUCCGGGGGUUUGCAAAUAGAUGUUUUACCUAUUUCGCAUGCACAGGGGAGCAGGAGAGGUGUUAAAAGUACAGGAAUCCAGGAACUGCCCUCCUCUGGGGGGAAUGCCAGUCUCUCUGGACUGGCCAGGGGGGCACUGGCCCCUGCUAUGUUUCCUCCAUUGGGGUAGAAGUGCAUGGACCAUGCCACACUGUGGAUGAUGUCAUAGUGUCACCUAGGACCUUGGUGACCACCCAGCCGGUGCCUGCAGCUUCUGAAUGGUAUUCUUUGACCGGUAUUGUAUUGGUGAUUCUGAGAAGAUUUUGGGAGAAAGAAACAAUCAACUGGUUGGAGAAGAAGUUUCUUACAGCAGGACGUUGCAAGGUCACUUCCCGAUAAAGACAUUUUUCUUGCUAUGCUUUCAUCGCUAAAGAAUGAAACACUGAAGCGAACAUUCCAGCAGACGGGAUCACAGGCGGCCUUCAGCCGUGGGGAGGCUCUAGGCUCAGCAGGAAUUGCUGCCAACAGACGGACCCACUACUUCUGGUAGAACACCUUGCUUUGCAAAAUGGUCCAUUCUCCCCACACGAGUCAAUGCAUUCACCGCAAUUCCAAUCAGAAUUUCAAUGAUGUGAAGAAAACGAGAGUUCCAGGAAGUCUCCGGCAUGUGGCGCUGCUCCGGGGGAGAGAAUGCAGCAUCUCCAGAUUCCCUCACGGUUCAUGCAAAUGGCCAUCCUGUUUUCUGGAAUUCAUCCUCUCUCCCACUACCAACACGGUUGCUCUGGAGAUCACAAAUGGAAGUUUUUGCCCUUGUAUUUAGAGGAGGUGAUUUUAUUGAAUAAAGGUGGUAUUCUGAGUCAGCCAA